UUGAACGCUGGCGGCAUGCCUUACACAUGCAAGUCGAACGGUAGAGGGGCAACCCUUGAGAGUGGCGAACGGGUGAGUAAUGCAUCGGAACGUGCCCAGUCGUGGGGGAUAACGCAGCGAAAGCUGUGCUAAUACCGCAUGUGAUCUGUGGAUGAAAGCAGGGGACCGCAAGGCCUUGUGCGAUUGGAGCGGCCGAUGUCAGACUAGCUAGUUGGUAGGGUAAAAGCCUACCAAGGCGACGAUCUGUAGCUG
rnacentral:rRNA from 1 species